UGGGGAAUUUUGGACAAUGGGGGAAACCCUGAUCCAGCCAUCCCGCGUGUGCGAUGAAGGCCUUCGGGUUGUAAAGCACUUUUGGCAGGAAAGAAACGUCAUGGGUUAAUACCCCGUGAAACUGACGGUACCUGCAGAAUAAGCACCGGCUAACUACGUGCCAGCAGCCGCGGUAAUACGUAGGGUGCAAGCGUUAAUCGGAAUUACUGGGCGUAAAGCGUGCGCAGGCGGUUCGGAAAGAAAGAUGUGAAAUCCCAGAGCUCAACUUUGGAACUUCAUUUUUAACUACCGGGCUAGAGUGUGUCAGAGGGAGGUGGAAUUCCGCGUGUAGCAGUGAAAUGCGUAGAUAUGCGGAGCAACACCGAUGGCGAAGGCAGCCUCCUGGGAUAACACUGACGCUCAUGCACGAAAGCGUGGGGAGCAAACAGG
rnacentral:rRNA from 1 species